rnacentral:rRNA from 1 species
GACGAACGCUGGCGGCGUGCUUAACACAUGCAAGUCGAACGGAAAGGCCCUGCUUUUGUGGGGUGCUCGAGUGGCGAACGGGUGAGUAACACGUGAGUAACCUGCCCUUGACUUUGGGAUAACUUCAGGAAACUGGGGCUAAUACCGGAUAGGAGCUCCUGCUGCAUGGUGGGGGUUGGAAAGUUUCGGCGGUUGGGGAUGGACUCGCGGCUUAUCGGCUUGUUGGUGGGGUAGUGGCUUACCAAGGCUUUGACGGGUAGCCGGCCUGAGAGGGUGACCGGCCACAUUGGGACUGAGAUACGGCCCAGACUCCUACGGGAGGCAGCAGUGGGGAAUAUUGCACAAUGGGCGGAAGCCUGAUGCAGCAACGCCGCGUGCGGGAUGACGGGCUUCGGGUUGUAAACCGCUUUCGCCUGUGACGAAGCGGGAGUGACGGUAAUGGGUAAAGAAGCACCGGCUAACUACGUG